UAAGGAAUAUUGGUCAAUGGACGCAAGUCUGAACCAGCCAUGCCGCGUGAAGGAUGAAGGUCCUCUGGAUUGUAAACUUCUUUUAUCUGGGACGAAAACGGGAUUUUUAUCUCAAUUGACGGUACCAGAGGAAUAAGCACCGGCUAACUCCGUGCCAGCAGCCGCGGUAAUACGGAGGGUGCGAGCGUUCUCCGGAUUUACUGGGUUUAAAGGGUGCGUAGGUGGGCUUAUAAGUCAGUGGUGAAAUCUCCGAGCUUAACUUGGAAACUGCCGUUGNUACUAUAGGUCUUGAAUUAUCUGGAGGUAAGCGGAAUAUGUCAUGUAGCGGUGAAAUGCUUAGAUAUGACAUAGAACACCAAUUGCGAAGGCAGCUUACUACAUAUAAAUUGACGCUGAGGCACGAAAGCGUGGGGAUCAAACA
rnacentral:rRNA from 1 species